GAUGAACGCUGGCGGCGUGCCUAAUACAUGCAAGUAGAACGCAGUUGCGAACGGGUGAGUAACGCGUAGGUAACCUGCCUCAUAGCGGGGGAUAACUAUUGUAAACGAUAGCUAAUACCGCAUACUUUGAGAGGGACUUGCGUUGUAUUUGCUAGUUGGGUAGGUAAAGGCUCACCAAGGCGACGAUGCAUAGCCGACCGGAGAGGGUGAGCUGCCACACUGGGACUGAGACACGGCCCAGACGCCUACGGGAGGCAGCAGUGGGGAAUAGUGCACAAUGGGCGCAGGCCUGAUGCAGCCAUGCCGCGUGUAUGAAGAAGGCCUUCGGGUUGUAAAGUACUUUCAGCGGGGAGGCGUUACCCGCUGAAGAAGUACCGGCUAACUCCGUGCCAGCAGCCGCGGUAAUUC
rnacentral:rRNA from 1 species